AGUGAACGCUGGCGGCAGGCCUAACACAUGCAAGUCGAACGGCAGCACAGUGCUUUUUUGCUCUUCUGGGUUGCGUGUCGGGUGCGUGAGACGUAUAUAUCCUUCUCUUCUCUUUCGGGGGAUAUCAUGUAGCUAGUUCUACUCCUAUAUCGUAUCCCCUUCUCGGUUGAGGGGGGUGGAUCUUUGCAUCUUGCGCGUUUGUAUGCGCCGCUGUUGGUCUAGCUAGUUGGGGGGGUAAAGGCCCACCAAGGCGAGGAUAGGUAGCUGGUCUGAGAGGAGGAUCAGCCACACUGGAACGGAGACACGGACAAGACUACUAAGGGAGGCAGCAGUAGGGAAUAUUGGACAAUGGGCGCAAGCCUGAUACAGCCAGACCGAGUGGGUGAAGAAGGCCUUCGGGUUGUAAAGACCGUUUGUUGGGGAAGAAAAGCAGCAGGCUAAUACCAAGCUGUUCUGACGGUACCGGAAGAAUAAGCACCGGCUAACUUCGUG
rnacentral:rRNA from 1 species